UCCCUGGUGGUCCAAUGGUUAGGAUUUGGUGCUUUCACUCACAGGGCCCAGGUUCGAUCCCUGGUUGGGGAA
rnacentral:tRNA from 1 species